GUAACAAGCACUGUGAAAAUGGAGGUGAAUGCCUUACACCAGAUGUUUGCCAGUGCAAGCCUGGCUAGUAUGGCCCCAUCUGCAGUACAGCUUUGUGUGACCCUGUUUGCCUCAAUGGUGGUUCCUGUAAUAAGCCGAACACUUGCCGCUGUCCAAAUGGAUUCUUUGGCGCACAGUGUCAGAAUGCUAUCUGUCACCCUCCCUGUAAGAAUGGUGGCCACUGCGUGAGAAAUAAUGUGUGUACCUGUCGUGAAGGAUACACUGGUAGGAGAUGC